UGGUCUCGGAAAACGUUUCAAUCAUAAAAGAUAAUUUUCUCCCAUUAUUCAGGAAUUAGGGUUUUCAUACAUAACCUAACUUCCCGUUUUCUUUUGAAUUUCACUUCGAACAAUUUUCUCAUAGUCUUGAAUGCUUUGCAUCUUCUUAAGAUGUCGUUUUAGCCUUGAGAAACAUUUUUUGGCCGAAUGAUUUCCCCUUUGAGGGAAUAUUCUCACUAUUAAAGGAUUUCCCUUAACCUAAUUUUACUAUUUCCUUCCUAUUCAUCAUUAAACCUAGUUCUUAUCGUUACUACAUC
rnacentral:lncRNA from 1 species